rnacentral:piRNA from 1 species
UAUUUUGUGCCACCGGACGCGGCGACGGA